UGAGGCCAACCACGAUCCAACCCAGAGUUUUUUGGGUCCAAACUUAUCCAUCAAAACCAGCGAGUGGCCGCCAGCCGGCUACAGCCCCAGCGAUCGAUGGGUGUGAUGUUCGCUCCCUCUUGGCCCGUGUGUGUGUGUAUGUGUGUGUGCCUCCCUCCACAUGGGAUGGGGAAGAGGAACCUCAUUUUUGCUGGUUUUAGCCCCGGGGCACUACUGUGAUUUUACCCUGUGCUCCUGGCCUGACGUCAUUAAAGAUGUAUGAUGAUGGAUACAACGAAGUCAAGCACACGGAGGUGGUUGGAGUUUCUAGUGACAGCCUGUCUUAAUGUCUGUCCUGUGUCCCUUGUGGGGAGCGGGAUCCGGCCUGACUAGAAGGCCUUGCAAUAAGCCUUUAUCAGCCAAGCCCACACAGUACCAGGGGGCCCCGGUCUCCUCCAACAACUCAUGAUGUGGAGGGGAGAUGGACAGAGCUCCGUGGUCCUCUGGUCGAGCAUCAGAACAGGAUUCAGCCCAUUGUGCAAUUCAAAUUAAGCAGGACUCAAAAGGGAGAGCGGAAGCUGUUGUGCCUGUGUUGUCUUGUGUUAUUUUAACCAGCUUAACUCAAGCCUCUUCAUGGACGAGUGUGCUGCAUGCUGUUGGAUGCCGAUGAUGAUAAGUGGUGGAUUGUAUGUUAAGACUGCUAAGCUGUUGGGUUGGCUGAACUGGGUUGCUGGCUCAAGUAGCUGUUGUUGUUCCUGAUUUUGGCUGAAGUUGAACCGCUUCAAUAGGUUACCAAGGAUUUUCCACUGGAAAUCGCUGACUUGGCUGUCCAUGUAUACUGUCUCUUCAUGUGACCAUAGGGACUUAUGUCUAUUUCAUGAUGUUUUCA